rnacentral:rRNA from 1 species
GAUGAACGCUGGCGGCGUGCCUAAUACAUGCAAGUCGAGCGAACGGACGAGAAGCUUGCUUCUCUGAUGUUAGCGGCGGACGGGUGAGUAACACGUGGAUAACCUACCUAUAAGACUGGGAUAACUUCGGGAAACCGGAGCUAAUACCGGAUAAUCUUUUGAACCGCAUGGUUCAAAAGUGAAAGACGGUCUUGCUGUCACUAAUAGAUGGAUCCGCGCUGGAUUAGCUGGUUGGUACGGUAACGGGUUACCAAGGCUACGAUGCGUGGCCGACCUGAGAGAGUGAUCGGCCACACUGGAACGGAGACGCGGUCCAGACGCCUACGGGAGGCAGCAGUAGGGAAUGUUCCGCAAUGGGCGAGAGCCUGGCGGAGCGACGCCGCGUGAGUGAUGAAGGUCUUCGGAUCGUAAAACUCUGUUAUUAGGGAAGAACAUAUGUGGAAGUAACUGUGCACAUCGUGACGGUACCGAAUCAGAAAGCCACGGCUAACUACGUG